GUGUUUGCGUUGGCAGCAUGUGUAUUAAAAUGGGAAUCAUACAAAGAUCAGCCCAGCCCUUGUGCAAGGAUAACAUGCAAAUUCAUGAAGUGUUCUGUGUUUUU